rnacentral:rRNA from 1 species
AACGCGAAGAACCUUACCUACUCUUGACAUCCUAGGAAUUCUGCAGAAAUGCGGGAGUGCCUUCGGGAACCUAGAGACAGGUGCUGCAUGGCUGUCGUCAGCUCGUGUCGUGAGAUGUUGGGUUAAGUCCCGCAACGAGCGCAACCCUUGUUUGCUGUUGCCAUCAGGUUAUGCUGGGCACUCUGCAAAGACCGCCGGUGAUAAACCGGAGGAAGGUGGGGAUGACGUCAAGUCAGCAUGGCCUUUAUGUCUGGGGCUACACACGUGCUACAAUGGCCGGUACAAACCGUCGCGAGCCCGCGAGGGGGAGCUAAUCGGAGAAAGCCGGUCUCAGUUCGGAUAGCAGGCUGCAACUCGCCUGCUUGAAGUUGGAAUCGCUAGUAAUCGCGGAUCAGCACGCCGCGGUGAAUACGUUCCCGGGCCUUGUACACACCGCACGA